UACGAAGGGGGCUAGCGUUGCUCGGAAUGACUGGGCGUAAAGGGCGCGUAGGCGGUUUGGUUAGUUAGGCGUGAAAUUCCUGGGCUCAACCUGGGGGCUGCGCUUAAUACAGCCAGACUAGAGUGUGAAAGAGGGUCGUGGAAUUCCCAGUGUAGAGGUGAAAUUCGUAGAUAUUGGGAAGAACACCGGUGGCGAAGGCGGCGACCUGGUUCAUUACUGACGCUGAGGCGCGACAGCGUGGGGAGCAAACAGG
rnacentral:rRNA from 1 species